UUUAGGUCCACAAGAGAAGGCUCGAAAGGUUUAGUGAAGAGGAAUCUUGUAAAUAUCCCCGUAAUAAUGAGAGUGACUGUGAUGAAGACAGUAGAAUUACUUUCAAGAAUUAAUAAUUUGUACUUUUUAGUAACAUCUCAAUUGUUGAAC